GUGUGACAGUGAGAAUUUGAGAAGUUCUUUUGUCGUUGUAAAAUUAUAUCGUCGUUAUAGAAAAUAUAAACUUUAAUUGUCGUUUCUUUGUUUACAGAGCAACACAAUUUAGUUAAAUAAACUACUAAUCCUUCAAGAUAAAUAAGAGUCUUAUAAAACGACAAUUUUGUUUAUCAAAUGGAAAAUAUGAAGAAGCUACAAUUUGAGUUCAAAGUGAAGCCAGGGAAUGAUGGCAAGUCAAAUAUUAUCUGCAUAACCUCAAUUACUACCGAGGACGAUAGAACGUUCUUAAUACCAGAGGAAUAUCAAGCAGCAGGUAAUCAUAAAGAAAUAAUAAGAACAACUACA
rnacentral:lncRNA from 13 species